rnacentral:rRNA from 1 species
GACGAACGCUGGCGGCGUGCUUAACACAUGCAAGUCGAACGGAAAGGCCCUGCUUUUGUGGGGUGCUCGAGUGGCGAACGGGUGAGUAACACGUGCGUAACCUGCCCUUGACUUUGGGAUAACUUCAGUAAACUGGGGCUAAUACCGGAUAGGAGCUCCUGCUUCAUGGUGGGGGUUGGAAAGUUUCGGCGGUUGGUGAUGGACUCGCGGCUGAUCAGCUUGUUGGUGGGGUAGUGGCUUACCAAGGCUUUGAAGGGUGGCCGGCCUGAGAGGGUGACUGGCAACAUUGGGACUGAGAUACGGCCGAGACUACUACGGGAGGCAGCAGUGGGGAAUAUUGCACAAUGGGCGGAAGCCUGAUGCAGCAACGCCGCGUGCGGGAUGAUGGACUUCGGGUUGUAAACCGCUUUCGCCUGUGACGAAGCGUGAGUGACGGUAAUGGGUAAAGAAGCACCGGCUAACUACGUG